UGACCUCGGAUCAGGUAGGAGGACCCGCUGAACUUAAGCAUAUCAC
rnacentral:rRNA from 1 species